rnacentral:rRNA from 1 species
CGCGGCCUAUCAGCUUGUUGGUGAGGUAGUGGCUCACCAAGGCGACGACGGGUAGCCGGCCUGAGAGGGCGACCGGCCACACUGGGACUGAGACACGGCCCAGACUCCUACGGGAGGCAGCAGUGGGGAAUAUUGCACAAUGGGCGAAAGCCUGAUGCAGCGACGCCGCGUGAGGGAUGACGGCCUUCGGGUUGUAAACCUCUUUCAGCAGGGAAGAAGCGAAAGUGACGGUACCUGCAGAAGACGCGCCGGCUAACUACGUGCCAGCAGCCGCGGUAAUACGUAGGGCGCAAGCGUUAUCCGGAAUUAUUGGGCGUAAAGAGCUCGUAGGCGGUUUGUCGCGUCUGCCGUGAAAGUCCGGGGCUCAACUCCGGAUCUGCGGUGGGUACGGGCAGACUAGAGUGAUGUAGGGGAGACUGGAAUUCCUGGUGUAGCGGUGAAAUGCGCAGAUAUCAGGAGGAACACCGAUGGCGAAGGCAGGUCUCUGGGCAUUAACUGACGCUGAGGAGCGAAAGCAUGGGGAGCGAACAGGAUUAGAUACCCUGGUAGUCCAUGCCGUAAACGUUGGGCACUAGGUGUGGGGGACAUUCCACGUUUUCCGCGCCGUAGCUAACGCAUUAAGUGCCCCGCCUGGGGAGUACGG